AUUGAACGCUGGCGGCAGGCCUAACACAUGCAAGUCGAGCGGAUGAAGGGAGCUUGCUCCUGGAUUCCGCGGCGGACGGGCGAGUAAUUCCUAGGAAUCUGCCUGGUAGUUGGGGAUAACGUCCGGUAACGGGCGCUAAUACCGCAUACGUCCUGAGGGAGAAAGUGGGGGAUCUUCGGACCUCACGCUAUUAGAUGAGCCUAGGUCGGAUUAGCUAGUUGGUGGGGUAAAGGCCUACCAAGGCGACGAUCCGUAACUGGUCUGAGAGGAUGAUCAGUCACACUGGAACUGAGACACGGUCCAGACUCCUACGGGAGGCAGCAGUGGGGAAUCUUGGACAAUGGGCGAAAGCCUGAUGCAGCCAUGCCGCGUGUGUGAAGAAGGUCUUCGGAUUGUAAAGCACUUUAAGUUGGGAGGAAGAGAAGUAUGUGAAUACCUUGCUGUUUUGACGUUACCAACAGAGAAAGCAACGGCUAACUUCGUG
rnacentral:rRNA from 1 species